UGGUGGUUUUACUCAUCUCAGGAUGCACAACAGGCUGGUGGUUUUUACAAAGAUUUUCAGAGUUGUUUCCUUUUCCAACUACAUAUGUAAGGUAGUUUUGCCAUUAUCUGCAAUAUCUGUUUCAGCCUUAAAGAUCAACUUUUCAACCUUGGUCCAGUUAUGAAGGCGGUAUGGAUUAUGGUUUUCGCCUAGAGCACAUGGACCUGGAAAUACUCUUUUUCUGUCCACCAUGGUAGAUUAAUGGUCCCAUCAGAGAACUUCCAGCAGUGCCUGCCCCGAGCCAGCCUGGGCUGACCCUGCCAGUUCGGCCCCUGGAUGCCUCUUGGGCGAUAGCAUUUACGACCUGGUUGUACCCUUGAUGCCCCUCCUCCUCUAUCUUUAGGAAAUCUGGUUCUAUAAGGUCAUUAUUAUUUGCCGUUAAAGAAUGGCUAGGCUUGAAUUUGAUAAAGUUCCCAAGAUCAGCAUUAUUGUAAAUAAAACUGUGAGACUUCAACUAGAAAAAAGCAAAACUUACAAUUAGGACAUCCUUUUACCCAUUACACGUUUAGUGGUGUGUUUUAUCUUUAUUUUUUUUAAAGAUCCAAUCAAAGGAUCUGCUGGAAGCAAAUCAAAGCGUUUCCACUUCAGAAUGACACCAGUCAGGGGUCGCCCUAAGUCAGAAAGGAGUUAAGCUUUGAGUCACAGGGUGCAUCCGUGUCCCCAUUCUUUCCUAAAAUGCGAACUCCCUGGGCUGAUGAGCCUGGAGGCCUGUGGCUUGUCCAAGGUCUCGGGGCAGGAUCCCGGUGCCAGGUGUAUGUGGCCUCUUGCUCUGGAGUCUUGGGACAGAUCUAUUCAAAUGGACACGGCGUCGGAAAGUGAGCCUUGAGACUCAGGCUUUUGGAAGGGUUGUCUCUUCUGUUUAGCUUCUCAUACAGCCUGUCUGAAAGAGCUCCUAGCUCACGCGUGCCACGGGAACAAGCUGACGGCGGGCCCAGGUUCUGCAUCAGUGGCGUUAGUGAGCGUCUGGUCCUCUUGGGGCCCAGCUAGACCACCAGCGAUGCCCCUGGCGAAGCCACAGAGGACCUCAGCUUGAAAGCCACUUGACAUUGUUCACUUGUUAAUAGGAAGAAAUUCAUUUGAAAUAACAGGGUCACUAAUUGCCACUCAGAGUAUAUGUGGUCAUCUAAUCAAAGAUUUCUCCAAGCACUGAUAGUCAAAUAUAGAUGAAUUAUUCACCAGUUCAGUAUAUGGUAGUUUUUCGAAUAGUAGCUAUUUAAAGAGCACACUUCUUGCUUGCUAGGUUUCAGUAGACGUCAGCAUGAGGUCCGAUGGAAGCAGGUUCCAGAAGCUUCAAACCACAAGCGUGGAGCUGGCAGCCCGGGAUGCUGGAUGCAGGACAUGGCAGGACCCCCUUUCACCACCUUGACCCGCUCUUCAAGCCACUGUUUAAACCUGGUUCUUCCUUUCCUCAACUUGUCAUCACAGAAAGUGCCAGACUCUUCAGAGACCACAGAUUACCAGGCAGCCUUUGUCUGGGAAGGGGGGACCAUGGGGCUCCUCCAGGACACCCUGCUGCCGUCCUGCCAAUGCCCCUCCUCUCUGCCUCCUGGGCAUUUCCAGUUGGGGGUCCCAUGCCCUGCCUUCUGCCCCUGCCACCCUGUGAGAAGCCUGAGGGCUGCACAUGCAGGACGCCGCCGCCCUGACGUCCAGUAUUGUCAGAAACAGGGCGCCCCAGCCGUCAGAGGAGCAUUUUGACUACUGCCAGAGCGCCAGAGCCCUUCCUGCUGCCCGCCUGGCCUCCGGUUUCCCUGUGACCUUUCUACAGCUCUCCAGUGAGAGGCGUUUCAAGCAUCUUCCCAAAGAGGAUAUAUGCGCAGGGGUAAACAGUGAAUGUGAAUUGAGGGGAAAGAAUUCCAGAAUUCCAGAAUGUCUGUGAGAGAUGUCCCUGUUAAAGGGAGUCCUUCCUUCUACUUUAAGAGCACAGCACCUUUCCACGGUACUGAUGCGUUUCCUACACUGGGCCACAUGAAACGCUAAGAAAACAGACGACCUUGAGGACCGUGGACGUUCCAGCAAAGGGCAGCAGCCUAAGAUCUGAGCAGAAGCUCAAGGCCCAAGGGGUCCGGCGCUCCCAGCUAAGACCAACUUGACCGCCGGCCCGGCCUUUUAUGGGGGCUUCCGGGGACCGGGGGAAAACCAGCCACCUUCAAGUGCCUCUUCCACCCGUGUGGCCUUGCGAAGCGCAGAUCCCACGAGGAAGACUGCCAGGUGCUCACGGCUCCCCACCUGCGCUUUCGGUGCAAGUUCCUGCUGUCGCCUCCAAUCCUCAGCCCCGUCUUCAAGUGGAAACACCCGGCGUGGACGAAGGGCCGCCUGGCGGUGCAGGUUUAGCCCCGGGGGUGGCCUGCUUCCCCCACUUCCCGCCCCUGCAUUUAAGACGGGCGAGGGUGCGGCGAGGCGGUCCCUGUGGGUUAGCCCGGAGCCCAGGCUGCACGUGUUCCUGGAAGGGUCACUUGUUCUUAGGUUCACAACAGUGGUGUCGAUUCAGGAGAUGCAAGGAAAUUGUACUGUCCAUAGAAGUCGCAAACUAAGACCGAUGCCACCAGCAGGGGGGCUCAGCGAUUAUUAAAAAGUGUCCAGGGAGGAUUUUCGCCACACUCACUGUUCCCAGGGCGUUGGUGGUGCGGGCACUGGAUGGUUCCAAAGACAGACUGUCUGUAUUUAUUCUUCUCGUUUUGUAAGCGGCCCAGCUGCUCUUAAGUCUUGGUCCAAGCUGACUUACGAGGCUCCCCCGGGAUUAUGGGUUCUUACCAACCAAGUCUUUGCAUGGAGCUGUCAGCUAAGGGGACUCUUGCCUUCCUGACAGCAGUGACUUCCAGGCGGCACAGCAGGAAGGCACCGCAGACAGCUCGGCUGGGAGGAGCGAACGAAGGGCCGGACAGUGAACGCUGACAGCGUCCCCACCCCCGCUAACGGGGCGCUUUCCUCCUUCUCAGUGCGAGGACUUUUCCGGGGGCGUGUUCUCCUCUAGGGACCUUCUGCCCAGAAAGAUCUAAGGUUAGGCUCCAAAGGUUGAGGUCUAAAAGUUUUUGCUGAGAUUUGUAUCUACUUUUAGGUGCCAUUUUAAUACAAUUCAGGAAAAUGGUCGUCGACCCUCAGCCCGUGAAACACACGGGAGUGAGAACAAAGGCAGUAAAUUUGGUCUGACUCAGAAUAUAGGAGGCCCAUUCUACUUCUCUGGAAACUACAGGACAGACUGAAAUGUGAUAGUGGAAGUUUUGCAAGGAAAAGAAUAAGACAACGCGUCUUCACGCUUUCAUUUAAAGAAUUACGUAGCGCUUUGCGUGAUGCUGUGUUUGUGGAACGCGGCAGGUCCUUAAACUUAUCUCAGCAGCGUGGGCUGCUGUGGGUAUGGCUGCUUAUUAGGGCAGAGAGUAAGAAGCUGCCGCCCAGGGCUCAUUUCCAGACACCCUUUCCCGGCUUGAGGCACCCGGACUCCUCAGAUCUCGAAGGGGGCUCUCGACAGACCAUCUGCUUCUCAGAAUUUCAGUCUGAGACAAGAUAAGUGUAACCGUUUACUUCCACCCCCCUGAGAAAGGGGAGCCAUGUACCGUGUCCCGGGGGAACACAUGAGGUCACAUCCUUCUGGAAUCCUUCGCCACAUAGAACAAGACCACACUGCAUCCACGUCAAGGUCACCUCUUGACUACAGCAACUGGUAGACGUCAAGGACUUCGGGCCCCGCGGCUGUUAAAUGCAUUAUAUGAAAAAAAAUCGAAGAAAUAUCAAUUUUUUACAUCACAAAUAGCAAAUUAAGCCCUGGGUCAGGUAUUUUUCAUUUAAAAUGUGUUUGCUAGUUUGGGUGGAAUGUGAAAAGCUUCCAUGUUUUUCCCCAGAGAAGGUAAUACACCAGCCUCCCCGCUCCCACCCUCAGCAUCUAAAAUUCAUUAAGUGAUGAACAUUACAGCGUCAUGCCAGCCGGAGCGCAGACAAGCUCCCCACGAUGAGCCCUGGCUCCCCUGACAAGGGGUGGGGGCCCCUGAGUCUCCAGGCCCUGAACACAAGUGAGUGGCUCAUCUUUUCAAGGUCAAAUCAUUCACUUUGGGCAAAUGUCUUUUCUUUUUUAAAGGCACAGGCGGUCUGGUCCUUUUUUCAGGCCUAAAAAAAUGUACCUCACACGAGAUGGAUACCACUCAGUACGGUUUUCGGUAGAAUUACAGUAUUCGGGUUCGAGUAUCACUAUUUUUUCUACACUGUAUGGUAAAAAAGAACUAUGUUAAUAGCUAUAUCUUAAAUACUGUGAUUUGAGGUUUUUUUAAAAAAGUCCUAAUGUAAAUAUUUUACUCACAAUCAUGCAUCUAAUAGCAAAUAUUGGGAUUCUUCUGCAAUCAGUGUUAAUUGACGUAUACUCUCACUAGCCUGGCUCUUGGACUUGUUGGAAACACACAGGAAGCUGAAAUAUCACAACUGAAAUACAACUGCACGCACGCACACACACACAUCAGAGCUUUCCUUCUCUCCUGAGCCAUGGGGAAUUCUUUUCCCUGUAAACCUGUUCCCUUCCUCAUGCUUCACGUGCAAGAGGCACGAAUGAGUCUUGUUUUAUCAUUUCUACCGGCAAGGCUGCCUCCGACCCAGGUCAGAAGUCACCGAUUUCACACAGCAGGAUCCCGCUGCAGACCGUGAACUAGUCCUGUGUAGUAAGCAGCUGUCUGUUCUUCAGGGAAUUACUACCUGUGGGUUGUUACCAAAGAACUUUGCAAUUUGAAAGAUGCCGAUGGCAGUGAUUGGCAACGGUUGGGUCUCUGCAGCCUCCAGAGCCCAACCCGGAGUAUAAAGCAGAAGCCACAGAGCCCGUGAGUCUCCCAUACGAUGUUUUCCAUACCUUGGCAGAUUUCUUCCUGAUGUGUAUCUGUACCGCCCCCGAGACCCACAGGGCCGUCACACCCAAACCCAGGGGGAGCCUUUGCCAGACACAUGGCAGAGUGGUGCAGGUUCCCAAAGCCAGGACUGAGCUUGAUUCCUUGAUGUGUGUUUAUCGUUACUGUUCUUGGGUGCCUUAUACUCUCAAAGUAUUUAGGGGCUAACAGACCCUUUGUAUUUUAUACUAAACAGGAGCAAUUCCAAAGCAGAUCUUUUCUGAGCAGGCUCUGACGCCCUCUCUCCAGCGCAGACCCUCUGGGUGUGAUCGGUGGGGAAUCCAGGGCCGCAGGAAGCCGGGGUGUGCAGAGGAGAGCAAAUGGAAUCUUCCUAGUCACUUUACUGGCAGUGGUUCCAGGCAAUUAGAAAAUGGCUAUAAAAUAACUUUAAUUUUUUUUUAAUUUUGGGUCUUACUCAUUUUCCCUUUAGGAGAUUGAACUGAUCGUAUAUAUUGAUUUCUAUCCUGAAUUUAUGGGAACUUAUAUGUUUGGAAUGUCCUACUGUAAGACUGAUGAAUGUAAAGAGUUAAUUUCAGGGUACAGUUUUGCCUUAAUGGUUUUAAAAAAUAAACUAUUUUUAAAAAUUA